rnacentral:rRNA from 1 species
CCUACGGGAGGCAGCAGUAGGGAAUUUUCGUCAAUGGGCGCAAGCCUGAACGAGCGAUGCCGCGUGAGUGAAGACGGCCUUCGGGUCGUAAAGCUCUGUUGCGGGGGAAAAAAGGCAGCAUCCGGAAAUGGGUGCUGACUGAUGGUGCCCCGCCAGAAAGUCACGGCUAACUACGUCCCAGCAGCCGCGGUAAUACGUAGGUGGCGAGCGUUAUCCGGAAUGAUUGGGCGUAAAGGGUGCGCAGGCGGUCCUGCAAGUCUGGAGUGAAACGGAUGAGCUCAACUCAUGCAUGGCAUUGGAAACUGGAGGACUGGAGAGCAGGAGAGGGCGGUGGAACUCCAUGUGUAGCGGUAAAAUGCGUAGAUAUAUGGAAGAACACCAGUGGCGAAGGCGGCCGCCUGGCCUGUUGCUGACGCUGAGGCACGAAAGCGUGGGGAGCAAAUAGGAUUAGAUACCCGGGUAGUC